CUUGCUUUUCUGAUGACGACCGGCGCACGGGUGCGUAACGCGUAUACAACCUACCUUUUAGCGGGGAAUAGCCCAGGGAAACUUGGAUUAAUGCCCCAUAGUAUAUAAACUUCUCCUGAAGUUUAUAUUAAACAUUUAUGGCUAUUAGAUGGGUAUGCGUCCUAUUAGUUAGUUGGUAAGGUAACGGCUUACCAAGGCAGCGAUAGGUAGGGGUCCUGAGAGGGAGAUCCCCCACACUGGUACUGAGACACGGACCAGACUCCUACGGGAGGCAGCAGUGAGGAAUAUUGGACAAUGGGCNGAGAGCCUGAUCCAGCCAUGCCGCGUGCAGGAAGACUGCCCUAUGGGUUGUAAACUGCUUUUACAGAGGAAGAACCANCCCCCACGUGUGGGGGUUUGACGGUACUCUGCGAAUAANGGAUCGGCUAACUCCGUGCCAGCAGCCGCGGUAAUACGGAGGAUCCAAGCGUUAUCCGGAAUCAUUGGGUUUAAAGGGUCCGUAGGCGGGCAGUUAAGUCAGUGGUGAAAGUCUUCCGCUCAACGGGAGAACUGCCAUUGAUACUGAUUGUCUUGAGUUAUUAUGAAGUGGUUAGAAUGAGUAGUGUAGCGGUGAAAUGCAUAGAUAUUACUCAGAAUACCGAUUGCGAAGGCAGAUCACUAAUAAUAUACUGACGCUGAUGGACGAAAGCGUAGGUAGCGAACAGGAUUAGAUACCCUGGUAGUCUACGCCGUAAACGAUGGUUACUAGCUGUUCGGCCCAAUUGAGGGCUGAGUGGUUAAGCGAAAGUGAUAAGUAACCCACCUGGGGAGUACGUUCGCAAGAAUGAAACUCAAAGGAAUUGACGGGGGCCCGCACAAGCGGUGGAGCAUGUGGUUUAAUUCGAUGAUACGCGAGGAACCUUACCAGGGCUUAAAUGUAGUCUGACAGGUCUGGAAACAGACUUUUCUUCGGACAGAUUACAAGGUGCUGCAUGGUUGUCGUCAGCUCGUGCCGUGAGGUGUCAGGUUAAGUCCUAUAACGAGCGCAACCCCUGUGGUUAGUUGCCAGCGAGUAAUGUCGGGAACUCUAGCCAGACUGCCGGUGCAAACCGCGAGGAAGGUGGGGAUGACGUCAAAUCAUCACGGCCCUUACGUCCUGGGCCACACACGUGCUACAAUGGUAGGGACAGAGAGCAGCCACUUCGCGAGAAGGAGCGAAUCUACAAACCCUAUCACAGUUCGGAUCGCAGUCUGCAACUCGACUGCGUGAAGCUGGAAUCGCUAGUAAUCGCAUAUCAGCCAUGAUGCGGUGAAUACGUUCCCGGGCCUUGUACACACCGCCCGUCAAGCCAUGGAAGCCGGGGGUACCUGA
rnacentral:rRNA from 1 species